rnacentral:lncRNA from 10 species
CUGAAAAGGUAUGUUUUUCGAUGAGGUUAAUGUUUAAAUCAACAAACUUUGAGUGAAACAGUUUCCCCCAUCAUGUGAGUGGGCCUCAUUCAUUUUGUUGAAGGCCAUAAGAAAAAGACUGCUCCUCCCAUAAAAAUAGGGAAUUCAUCGAGCUGACUGCCUUUACACUCCAGCUGAAACAUUAACUCUUUCCUGGGUCUCUAGACUGCUUCUAGACUACCCUGCAAGUUUUGGACCUGCCAGUCUCCACAAUCAGCUUUAUUUCAGACAGUGGGAGGUGAAAGACAGAUGAUGGAUAGUAGACUGAGAUGAAAAAAAAAAAAAAAACCCAGACUGGCAGAAAGAAGUUCCUCAGAAAAGAAAGAACAAGGAAUAUGGUUAAUGUUUGGUGGCUGUUGCAACAGAGCUAACAAAUUAGAUUGAUAUUAUCAAAUACUGUUGGUCGUGUGAGACAAUGGAUACCUUCAUAUACACUUUUUGGGAAUUUAACAUGGUGAAGAGUUUUUAAAACUGCAAACAGAUUCUACUAGCAAAACUGGUCUCACUCUGUCACCCAGUCUGAAGUAUAUGAUCGUGGCUCACUGCAACCUCCACCUCCUGGUCUCAAGAAAUCCUCCUGCCUCAGCCUCCUGAGUAGCUGGAACUACAGGCGUGUGCCACCACACCUGGCUAUUUUUCAUAUUUUCAGUACAGAUGAGGUUUCACCAUGUUGCCCAGGACAGUCUCAAACUCUUGAGCUAAAGCAAUCCACCUGACUUGGCCUCCCGAAGUGCUGAGAUUACAGGUGUGAGCCACCACUUCUAGCCCACAGUAUUUAUUUUUAAUGCUUUCUUUCAAAAGGGAAAAAGUUGGAAAUACACAUACAAUGAUAAAAAAUUAUAUAUUACUCAUGGUAUAUAUACCAAAGCACAAAGUUUUCAAGGCACAUGUGGAAAUCAAUGUACAUUCAGCAUGGUCUAGCCUGUGUCCGAUUGGCUCUCAGUUUAAGAGGAUAAAGAAAUUGAGAGGAAAUGUUUUAAGAACAAAUGACAAUAUAAUAUUCCAUAUACAUACAAAGUUUCAAGAUACAUCAAACAAAAACAAUUCUAAAGUGAGAACAAGACAAAUCAAAUCCAUAGUUAUAGAUGGAGAUUUUAAUACCCUCAUAGUAAUAAAGGUAUAUAAUAUUUAUAUGUUAUUGCCAAUCACUUAAUUUAACCGUUAAGGAACAAUAUACCUAAUAUUGCACAUGACACACUAUAUUCAAGUGUACUCGGAUCCAUUAAAUCAGGGUAGAUCAUAUGCUGGGCCAUAUAAUGUGUACCAAUAAAUUCCAAGAACUGAUAUUAUACACACAUAUUAUCUGGCUACAAUGUAAUUAAAAUAUAAAGAAAUAAAAAGAUAUCUGGAGAAUGCUAAAAUACUUAAAAUUAAGCACUUCUAAAUACCUCGUAAGAGAAAGAAAUCAGAAGAGAAAAUAGCAAAUAUUUUAACAGAGAAGCCACAAAAACAUAAUAUAUUAAAAUUUGAGGGCUGCAGCUAAAGCAGUAAUUGAAAGAAAAUUUAUGCUUAUAUUAAAAAAUUAAGAAUAUCAGAUUCCACUUUGAGAAGUUAGAAAAGGAAAAGAAAAUUAAAACCAAAGUUAAUAGAAAGAAAAUAGUAAAGACAUGAGCAGAAAUCACUGAAGUAGAAAAUUGACAAGCAGUAGAGAAAAACCACCAAAAUACAAAUUUGGUUUUUUGAAACAACUAAUAAAAUUGAAAGAUUUCCAGUUAGACUAGAUAGAUUAAUUAGAGAGAGAGUGCGUGCAAAAUCACAAUAAAUAUCAUCAAUUAACAUUACUAUAGACUCUACGGCCAUAAAAACAGAUAACGGAAUGUUAUAAACAAAUACAUUUGACAGUUUGAAGAAAUUAACAAAUUUUUAAAAAUUUUUCGACUUUUAAGUUCAGGGGUACAUGUGCGGGAUGUGCAGGUUUGUUAGACAGGUAGACAGGUGCCAUAGUGGUUGGCUGCACAGACCGUCUUAUCACCCAGGUAUGAAGCCCAUCACACAUUAGCUAUUCUUCCUGAUCCUCUCCCUUCUCCCACCCCCUGUCCUCCAACAGGCCCCAGAGAGUGUUGUUCCCCACCAGUGUUCAUGUGUUUUCAUCAUUUAACUCCCACUUAUAAGUGAGAACAUGCGGUAUUUGAAUUUCUUGAAACAUACAAAUUUCCAAAUCUGUCACAAGGAAUAGGAAAAAUUCCUAACACAUCAGUCAAUCUCAAUCAGAUAUGUUAGCUUUCUCUGGGAUCCACUGACAAUGUCUAGAGGCCUUUUUGUGUCGCAACUCAGGGGGAAAGGGUGCUAUUGGCAUCUGGUGAGUAGAGGCCAAGGAUGUUCCUAAACACCAUUCAAUCCUGUAAUAAAUAGGACAGCUCUACACAAAAAAGAAUUAUUCAGCCCCAAGCAUCAAUUGUACCAAGAUGGAGAAACCUGUUAAUACAACUUUUCUUGUUAUAUAAUUCUAAUUACUCAUCAAAAACCUUUGACAAAGAAUAUUGCAGACACAGUUGGCCUCAAUGUUGGAGUACAUUGAAUAUUUGAGGAAAAAUUAAUACCAGUGUUACACAAACGUUAAAAAAUAGUCAAGGAGAGAAUACUCACAACUCAUUUUAUGAGGCAAAAUUCCCAGAUACUAAAGUCAGACAUAGAAAAUACAAGAAAAGAAAACUACAAACCAAUAUUCUUAUGAAUAUUGAUGUAAAAAUCCUCAACAAAACAUUAGUAAAUAGAAUUAAGAAACAUUAAGAGAAUUUCACACCAUGAUCAAUUAUCAAGGAUAUUUUGAGAUAUGAAAAUCAAUUGAUGUAAUACACCACAUUAAUAGAAUAAAGAGGGAAAAACCUCACAUGAUUAUCUCAAAGUAGAAAAAGCAUCUGACAAAAUUUAACAUCCUUUUAUCAUAAAACAUCCAACAAACCAGGGAUAGAAUAAAAUUCUCCAUCAGGAUAAAGACCACAUAUGUAAGUCUCAUGACCAGUAUUAUACUCCAUAGUGACAAACUGAAAGUAUUUCCACUAAGAUUAAGACAAGACAAGAAUCCCCACUUUAACACUUUUAUUCGGCAUAGUAUUGAAAGAUCUAUUCAGAGAGAUUAGGCAAAAAAAAAAAAAAAAGGCACCCAGAUUGGAAAAGAAGUAAAAUUAUCUCUGUUCUCAGAUGGUAUGAUCUUAUAUAUAGAAAACCCUAAAUAUUACACACACACAGACACACACACGCACACACACACGUUGAUGCUACUAAGUGAAUUCAGCAGGAUUAAUUGCAGGAAGCAAAAAAUCAACUCAUAAAAGUUAGUUGCUUUUCUAUGCACUAACAAUGAACAACCUUAAUAGAAAAUUUAAAAAUCUAUUCAAUUUACAAUAGCAUCAAAAAUAAUAAUAUGAAAUAAAUUUAAUCAAGGAGGUAAAUACUUGCACAAUGGAAACUACAAAACAUUGUUAAUAGUUAUUAAGAGAACAUAAAGAAAUGGAAAGUCACUCCAUAUUCAUGGAGAGGAAGACAAUAUUUUUUGGUGACAGUGUUAAUUGAAGAGAUUUACAGAUUCAAUGCAAUCUCUUUAAAAAUCAAAAUUCUGUUUUCUUUGGAAAGAGAGAAACCCAUCCUAAAUACAGAUGAAAACUUUGGGGACUCCAAAUAGCCAACACAGUCUUGAAAAGUAAAGAAGUUGGAGGAUUCACAAGGUACCAAUUUCAAAACUUAUUAUAAAGCUUCAGGAAUCAAUACUUUGUGAUACUGGUACAAGGACAGACACACAGACCAAUAGAAUAGAAUAGAAUAGAAUAGAAUAGAAUAGAGUAGAGUAGAGUAGAGUAGAGUAGAGUAGAGUAGAGUAGAGUAGAGUAGAAUAGAAUAGAAUAGAAUAGAAUAGAAUAGAAUAGAAUAGAAUAGAAUAGAAUCAAUCUUUACGUACAAAUUCAAUUGCUACUUGACGAGAGUGCCAAGACCAUUCAAUGAGGGAAAGGGCAGUCUCUUCAGCAGGUGGUGCUGGGAAAACUGGAUAACUACAUUCAAAAGAAUGCAGUUGGACCUGUACCUUACAUCAUGUACAAAGAUUAACUCACAAUGGAUCCAAAACCUAAACAUAAAACUUAAAACUCAGCAACUUUUAGAAAGAAAUAUAGGAAAGAAACUAUGACAUUGAAUCUGGCUAUGAUUUUUAGAUAUGACACCAAAAACAUAGGCAAAAAAAAGAUCAACAAGAGAUCAAAUAGAUAAAUUGGAUUUAAUUGAGUUUAAAAUAUUUGAGUAUUCAAGGACAUUGUCAAGUGAGUAAAAAUACAACCCACAGAAUGGGAGCAAAUAUUUGCUGAUCAUACAUAUGAUAAGGGAUUGAUAUCCAGAAUAUAUAAAGAACUCUUAAAACUUGUCAGUAAGAGACAACUCAAUUAAAGCAUAGGCUUAAAUUAGACUUAUCUUCAAAGCCAAAGUACCUGGAAUUUGCAAAAUCAUUGAGAUAGAAAGUAAUUGCAUAGAGAUUUACCAAGGGCGUGGAAGAGCCGUAAAGGGGAGUUAUUUAAUGGCUAUAGAGUUUCUGUUUGAGAUGAUAAAAAAGUUCUGGAAAUACUGGUGAUGGUUGCCAUGCAUCAUGAAUGUAUUUAGUGCCCCUGAACUGUACAUCUCUAUGGUUAAAAUGGCACAUUUUAUAUAAUGUAUGUUUUGCAACAAUAAAAAAGUGAAAAAGAAAUUAAAUGCAUUCCUAGAGAGACAAAAGUUGAGAAAAUCUAUUGCUAGCUAACCUGCUCUAUAUAAAAUACUAAAGGAAGUUCUGGGGGCUUAAAGAAAAUGAUGUCAGACGUUAACUCAAACAUACAAGAAAUAAAUAAAUAUGAUCAGAAGUGGCAAUAUGUGGAUGAAUAUAAAAUUGCACAUAUGUGUGUGUGUGUAUACAGGCACACCUGGGAGAUAUUGCAGGUUUAGUUCCAGACCACCAGAGCAAAGUAAACUUUUUUAGUUUUUCAGUUCAUAUAAAAGUUAUGUUUGCACUAAACUAUAGUCUACAAAGUGUGCAACAGUAUUAUGUCUUAAAAACAAUGUGUAUACCUUAAUAAUUAAAAAUAUUUUAUUGCUAAAAACUGGUGCCACAGAGACACAAAGUGAAUAGAUGCUGUUGAAACAGGUGACGCUGAUAGGCUUGCUGGAUGCAGGGGUUGCCACAAAUCUCCGGUAUGUAAGAAAUGUAAUAUCCGUGAGUUGCAAUAAAGCCAG